GCUUCCCGUUUAUUUUCAAUGGAAGGAAAGCGGUGAGAAGCGGAGAGGGCGGCGCGAAGGUGGCGUGGGAGGCGGUGAAAAGGUAAACUUAUCCCAACUUUAUGCAAAUCACCAGCAGCGACCGCUGGGCGAUGACCAAUCAUAUCGAGUGGUUUCCAUGACGAAUUUGACGCUAUGGGACCCAAGGCUGGAGACUUUCUUCAGCAAAGAUGGCUGACAAAAAUACUAAGAUGGUAGGAAAUGGACUCCUGAAACAACCAGCAAACCAGGCGGUCAUCUUGUUAAACAGUGGAUGUAAAGAAUCUAGCUAGCUAAAGCAUUUACUGCAAAUUGAAUGUACAAUUUUGUAAGCUUGCCUUGCUGAUAUUUGCCAUGCAAUGCAGAUGAAGUAAUGUAGCUAGCUAACAAUUUUAUUUUUGCUUAUUGCGCAGUGGAGGAUAAAAAAUACCUGUAUGCCAUAUUAGUUCAGAACCUAGCUAUGAACCUCAGCUUUCAUAGCCAGUUGUAUCAACUUCAAAACAGUCUGAAUGACAUUAAUGAAGCCUAUGGUUAAGUAGAAUAUAAUAUAACUUUGUACAAAGGAUGCCCACAUUGUAGCCUGUACUUUUUAAUAUAGUCACUGAUCAUGUACACUACCUUGGCAAAUAAAUGUGCAGCUCAGGUAUGAAUGUCUUUGAGAGAAUUUUUCAAUCAUAUCCAAUACCAGGAGUAUCAAAUUCCAGUCUUUGAAUGACUCUGUGUCUGCAUGUAUGAAUUACAAUUAUACACUUCAACAGUGUUUACCAAUCUUGGUCCUGGGACAUCAAUGGUUACACAUUGUAGCUAUGCAAUAGACUCCAAACAUGUUUUAACUAGUUAAAGGCUGAUUUGUAAUUCAUAUAUACAGAAAUAUAAUAAAAUAAACAGUACACUACACUUCCUAUGCAUCAUGUAAAACUGGUUCAUCUCAAUAUCUAAUUUCCUUCAUCUGCAUUGAUCUGACAAACACAGGAUAGGUGUAGUAUUUCAUCAAAUGAGAGACUUCAUUUCAACCAUUAGAGAAUGUGAAACGCUUUAUACCGGUACCCCCUGUAUAUAGCCUCGUUAUUGUUAUUUUAUUGUGUUACUUAUUAUUAUUAUUUUUUUAAUACUUUAGGUUUAUUUAGUAAAUAUUUUCUUAAGCGUAUUUCUUGAACUGCAUUGUUGGUUAAGGGCUUGUAAGUAGGCACUUCACGGUAAGGUGAAUCCAGCGCAUUGUUAAACCCAGACUUGGACCACACAUCCACUCCACUAGUGAUUGCUUUGCAAUGCUUGCAGUUACACACUGAUUCCUUCCAAACCACUCAUUGUUGAAUUUGCGAUUUCCAACUUGUUGUGUAAUAUUUAUGUCCAAUGGCCGAUGAGCACUGAAAAGUUUUAUCUGUAAUUUCUCUUCAUUAUUUCUCUUCAUAUAACAAGGAUUAAAAGGGAUUUGCCAGUAGAUUGUCGACUUGAUUCAUGAUGAUGACAGCUAGCUAAGAUUUUGAAAGUAUGAUGUCAGUCCAAUCAAAGCUACUGUAGAUAUAAGGUGAUUUGACGUAAUAGUAUCUGUGGUUGGGCACUUCAAAUUUAACUAUAUGGCAGCACCCAAGGAGCUUGAAUUUUCAAGCUCUCCCUGUAGAUUUUGAGGUGACGUAGUGUCCCCAUGAGAAACACCUGCAUUUUGGAGCUGCCUUCCCCCUCCCUGGCACUCGAAGGCACCAGGCUCCCCAGGAUUACGCACACAUGCCUGUUACAUUUAGGACAGAUUUGUCCUAAAUGUAACACUUUGUAUUCAGGAAUUGCUUUGCCACAUUUUUUGUAGUAUUACUUUUUGUGCCUUGUUGCAAACAGGAUGCAUGUUUUGGAAUAUUUUUGAUUCUGUACAGGCUUCUUUCUUUUCACUCUGUCAAUUAGGUUAUUAUUGUGGUAAAAUUAUUGUGGAGUAACUACAAUGUUGUUGAUCCAUCCUCAGUUAUCUCCUAUUACAGCCAUUAAACUCUGUAACUGUUUUAAAGUCAA
rnacentral:lncRNA from 1 species